CUACGGGCGGCACCAGUGAGGAAUAUUGCACAAUGGGGGGAACCCUGAUGCAGCAACGCCGCGUGGAGGAUGACGCAUUUCGGUGUGUAAACUCCUUUUAUAUGUCAAGAAAAUGACGGUAGCAUAUGAAUAAGCACCGGCUAACUCCGUGCCAGCAGCCGCGGUAAUACGGAGGGUGCAAGCGUUACUCGGAAUCACUGGGCGUAAAGGACGCGUAGGCGGGCUUGUAAGUCAAGUGUGAAAUCCUACAGCUUAACUGUAGAACUGCACUUGAAACUACGAGCCUAGAGUAUGGGAGGGGGAGAUGGAAUUAGUGGUGUAGGGGUAAAAUCCGUAGAUAUCACUAGGAAUACCUAAAGCGAAGGCGAUCUCCUGGAACAUAACUGACGCUAAGGCGUGAAAGCGUGGGGAGCAAACAGGAUUAGAUACCCCCGUAGUC
rnacentral:rRNA from 1 species